rnacentral:lncRNA from 13 species
UGCCUCCUGCCGGACUGUUCCUGGUUGACUACGUGUUUGGCUCUCUGCCUUCUCUUCAUGUUGGCCUCUGUGUACUCUAGGCCCUUUGGACUUUAGUUACAAGAAUAUGGCAUUUAUGAUCAUGUUCUUUUGCCUCCUCAUAGCCUGUUGCUUUUCCAUGUUAGUGUCACAUGUUAUGUGAUCGCACCUGGACUGUUUAAAUGAUAAGCACACAUGCUUUAGAUCUGUGCUGCCUUUUAUCUACAUUGCCUGGACCUUGUUCUUGGCUCUGGCCUUCCCUACUUGUCUUUAACACGGACACUCAUGAGUCAUCCUCCAAGACGACCAGUGCAUCCUCAAGCUCUGCUCCUUCGGGCCAGUGACUUGCGGGGCUUUGUGUUCAUGCUGGCUAUGCAUGUCAUCUAUGCAGGUGUUUCCAUUGCCACUGCAGAAUGAAGUCAGUGCACAUGGUAUUGGUCAUCAGCCAGAACUUACUGUUCUGUGGGUCUGGGGUCACCAGCUAAGAUGUCACCUACUUUAUCUCUGGCUUUGGCCUGUGGUCCUUGAUACCCAUCCUGCUUGAUGUUCUGCAGAAUGGCAUUUGACUGCUGGGCAUGCAUGAGGUUAAGGGCAAGAAACAGUAUGCCAUGUGUUCUAUACCAUCAUGUGUCUCUUCCUGUUUCUGGGGCCUUCUGCUGGUGAACUUUCAUCAAGAUCUGUGCCAUGCCCUGUCACUAUCAAGUCAUUAAGUUUUGUCUGGGUUGCUACCAGCCUCAGUUGGUUUCCUGGUCAACAAGAACCUCAAGAACUGCCUGUGGACCAAGGCUCCCUGCCAGUGCAUGAGACACACACCUACCCUCCCCAUCCUUCCAGGAACUCUACUGGCUGCCAGACUGUUGGGCAGGCUGAUAUGUGUGGACCUGUGUUCACUGUCAUGCUGUGGCUCCAGACAUGCACAGAAGUGGAGAGGAAUUGGACCCCAUGUGCCCAUCACCUAGCUGCAUCACUUACCAAUUACGGUCAACCUGGUUUCAUUUGUAUCUUCCUCUUUCAACCUGUGUUGUUUAUUGAAAAUCCAAGCCACUAUGCCAGUGCAACUGUGACUACUUGGGGAGAUUGGUAG